UUGAACGCUGGCGGCAUGCCUUACACAUGCAAGUCGAACGGUAGAGGGGCAACCCUUGAGAGUGGCGAACGGGUGAGUAAUGCAUCGGAACGUGCCCAGUCGUGGGGGAUAACGCAGCGAAAGCUGUGCUAAUACCGCAUGUGAUCUGUGGAUGAAAGCAGGGGACCGCAAGGCCUUGUGCGAUUGGAGCGGCCGAUGUCAGAUUAGCUAGUUGGUAGGGUAAAAGCCUACCAAGGCGACGAUCUGUAGC
rnacentral:rRNA from 1 species